rnacentral:rRNA from 1 species
AACGCACCUUGCGCUCUUUGGUAUUCCGAAGAGCAUGCCUGUUUGAGUGUUGUGCUAUUGAUAAGCCUCGGCUUGAUUUUGGACUUACUUUGCCGGCUUUGGCUGGCUGGUCCUGAAUGCAUUAGCUUGAACCUUGCUUGCGAUUGGUUUGACUCGGCGUGAUAAGUCUUUCGUCGAGGAACGGUCCUUUGUAAAAAGGGGAUUGGCCAAGCGCUUGUGGGGUUUGCUCUCUAAUCGUCUUAGGACACACACUUUACUGUGGCUUCAGCCUCAAAUCAGGUAGGACUACCCGCUGAACUUAA